GAGAUUGGCCACGGCGCAGCCCCCAGUCCCCAUCCCCAAUUCCUCUCCCUCUCCCUUUCCCUCGUCUGCCGCCGCCAGCCCCACCCCCGCCCUCCCCGCAGCCGCCGCCACCACCGGCGCCCAGGUGUGGCGCUGCUCUUCCCCACGGUCCUGACGGCAAGGCGGCGACAAGAGUUAGAAGGCAGACGCGGACGGCCCCGUCAGAUCUCGUCCCGAUGAAGUCAAGGACGAGCUCCACCCGGACGAGGUCGAUCCGCCCCCCUGCCACACUUCUCCAUCGCGUCACCAUAUUUGGAGGAGCCGCGACUGCUGCUUGCGCAUCUGCUCCUCCCGGAGUUGUCGCCAUCGGCAGGAGGAGUGCCGGACCGCGCGCCAACUCGAGGACCGCCGCUCCGGCGGACCGUUGUUUCUGGCCGCCGCCCUCCUCUGGUGCGCCGUCUCGGCCUCCCCCACCAGGAGCAGCAGCAGCGCCACAUCGGCACCGCCGCGCACCUCGCCGCCGGAGGCUUCGCUGGCAUCGUCAGCAAGACCUGCACCGCGCCCCUCGCCCGCCUCACCAUCCUCUUCCAGGUUUUGAUCGCUCCGGAAGUCACAUCGUCGUCAACUAAGCAGUGAUCAAUGAGCUGGUGAACCUGCACAGGGCGUCUUAUCUCGGUGGGAGGCUGCCGGCGAACAAUGGCAGGAAGAGCCUAUACACGGCAGGCCCGUUGCCUUUCACUUAUGAAGAGUUUCAUAUCACUCUGCAUGACGAUAAUGAUGGCUCUGGCUCCCAUAGGCGACAAAGGAAUUUUAAGGUGGUGGUUAAGUUCGCCGCGUGACAUCUACAAAUGAAUUUACAAGUGAUUGAUCCAUGGAGUUCAGGCGACAACAACAGCUAGCUCCGUACAGGCUAAAGUGUGACAGGGAACCGCUGAACAACAAGUUUGCGGUGCAGUCAGUGGGAAAUUGGCAGAUACUUCCCUCACAACGUUGGCACUGAUAUGUCUGUGGCCAUGUUCAGCCGGCUCCAGGUAUCUAGCUAUGGUUGUCGCUGCUACGGAGGCCAGAGGAGGAAGCUACGCUCUUCCAUGGCGGCCAGAGGAGGAGGAGGCACUUCUCCGGUCAGAUCAGUGGCUACCAUGUCGCCGUCAACGUCCACCCUCCUCGACAGAUCAACUUACUCCCAAGGCAACUGCUCCUGAUCUUGAACACGAGCUUGGAAAUCUGGCACCGACAUAUGCAGCUGCCGGUCAAAUUUCUCCAUAUUUUGGUUUGGAGAUUUUUGGAAGGAACAGUUGUUUAAUUGCUCAGAACCAUCUCUCAAAUGGAAACAUACAGCGAAGUUUUUCAGUACAUGAGUUAUAUUGGAAACAGCAGCGCAUCUGGAACUCUCAGUAGGGGUGAUUUUCUUGUCAAAGGAUAUAUAAAGGGACAUUAGUUGCGCUGGUUAUCAUGCUUUAUUAGAAGGCAAGCUAGAGUCCAUUGUUCAAAGUACACCUGGAAAUCCGCAGGCUACCAUUUUAUAAGGAGAAGGAUUACAGAAAGGAAGGAUCAAGCCUUGUCGGCAAUAUAAUCCAUGUGGUGUCAAUCAGCAUGUGGGAAACAAUGUCCAUGUCCUAUAAAUGGGGCAUGCUGUGAGAAAUAUUGUGGGCAAGCUAGCUGAAUCAUAGUCUUAACAAGUGACAUCCCAAUGAUAGAAAAAUGAAGAUUAUUUGCAGUAGCAUUCCAUAUGUUAUGCAUUCUGUAUUUGCAAGCACCAGUUUGACAAGAACUGUUUGAUUAUUCAAUGUUCAGGGGACAAUCCCAACAACAAUUGCAGGUACUUUAGCGUUGUCUCUAUGAUUCUUGCAUGAGUUGCUGGUGUUGUCAUUUUCAAUUCAGUGUUAUAUCAUUUAACAAUCACAAUCCAGUCAGUAGGCCUGGCGGAAAGGAAUUAAGAUGCACACUGGCAAGAAGAAGAUCCAGAAGGACAAGGGCGUCGAGACCUCUGAAUUCGAGGAUACCAUCGCGCAGGGGCUCACCACAAAUCACUUGCAAGAAGGGCUCAGUUCUAAAACUAAGGUUAUGCUUCACCAAGGAUUUGAAGGGUCCCUCGCCGUGCCGUGGACACGAUUCAGCCAUGCUGGAGCAGUGUGCGAACGAGCCACGAGCCGACGUGGUGGGGUGGCUUGGCUGGUCUUGCUCUGGCGAGCCACCGCCGACGCUGCCCGUCUCGAUCUCGCCCCGUGUCUCCUUCAAGCUAUGGUGUUGGACGUUGAGGACAACAAAGAAAGCAGUGGAACUGCAGUCCAUCCACGUUUGAGAGUUGUGCUUGUGCACAUUGGUAAAAUAGCUAAGUUGCAGGUUGUUAGAAGUUCUACGGUUCCACUUAUAUGGAAAGAGACAAGAUUCAUUUUCAUUGCUUGUCACGGAUUUCGAUUCUUCACAUAAAACUUUGACCAAAGAGCUCAUCAAUGAUGUGUGCAUGUGCUAA